rnacentral:rRNA from 1 species
AGGACGAACGCUGGCGGCGUGCUUAACACAUGCAAGUCGAACGGUGAUCCAUGGUGCUUGCAUUGUGGUGAUCAGUGGCGAACGGGUGAGUAACACGUGAGGAACCUGCCCCAGCUAAAAACUGGAAUAACCCCGGGAAACCGGAGCUAAUACCGGAUAUGACACCAGACCGCAUGGUCAUGGUGUGGAAAGUUUUUUCGGUCUGGGAUGGCCUCGCGGCCUAUCAGCUUGUUGGUGAGGUAGUGGCUCACCAAGGGCGACGACGGGU